UGGGGAAUAUUGCACAAUGGGGGAAACCCUGAUGCAGCAACGCCGCGUGAGUGAUGACGGCCUUCGGGUUGUAAAGCUCUGUCUUCAGGGACGAUAAUGACGGUACCUGAGGAGGAAGCCACGGCUAACUACGUGCCAGCAGCCGCGGUAAUACGUAGGUGGCAAGCGUUGUCCGGAUUUACUGGGCGUAAAGGGAGCGUAGGCGGACUUUUAAGUGAGAUGUGAAAUACCCGGGCUCAACCUGGGUGCUGCAUUUCAAACUGGAAGUCUAGAGUGCAGGAGAGGAGAGUGGAAUUCCUAGUGUAGCGGUGAAAUGCGUAGAGAUUAGGAAGAACACCAGUGGCGAAGGCGACUCUCUGGACUGUAACUGACACUGAGGCUCGAAAGCGUGGGGAGCAAACA
rnacentral:rRNA from 1 species